GACGUAGGGCGCGAGCGUGUCCGGAUUUAUUGGGCGUAAAGGGCUCGUAGGCGGUGUGUCGCGUCGGCCGUGAAAACCUGCAGCUUAACUGUGGGCUUGCGGUCGAUACGGGCAUCACUGGAGUUCGGCAGGGGAGACUGGAAUUCCUGGUGUAGCGGUGAAAUGCGCAGAUAUCAGGAGGAACACCGGUGGGCGAAGGCGGGGUCUCUGGG
rnacentral:rRNA from 1 species